UACGUAGGGUGCAAGCGUUUGUCCGGAAUUAUUGGGCGUAAAGAGCUCGUAGGCGGUCCGUUAAGUCGGAAGUGAAAUCUCAAGGCUCAACCUUGAAAUCGCUUUCGAUACUGGCGGACUUGAGGCAGGUAGGGGAAGGUGGAAUUCCUGGUGUAGCGGUGAAAUGCGUAGAGAUGUGGAGGAACACCGAUGGCGAAGGCAGCCCCCUGGGUCAAGAUUGACGCUCAUGCACGAAAGCGUGGGGAGCAAACAGG
rnacentral:rRNA from 1 species